AUCUUUUUGCGUUCUUUGUCUUUUCCAAAUCUCAGAACUGAAAACCCAGAUUUUGUUUUUGAUUCUUUUGCUGAAUUUUGAUCUGGGUUUUGUUUAAUCUUGUGAUUUUCUCAUCUGUUUCGAGAUGGCUCCGAGUUCAGUUGUGGUUACCAUUGAGA